rnacentral:rRNA from 1 species
UCCUCCAGCGCAGCUGUAUCCUCCACCCUCAAUUACAACACAUCUGAACCGCUUACCCCGACGAACUACGUUCUCUGGAAAGCUCAAGCUCGAUCCCAAAUACUGGGCGCUGGCCUCUAUGGCUACAUUGAUGGCACCACUGCGGAGCCUCCCAAAAUCCUCACCACCAAAGACAAGGAUGGCAAGGAUCAGGUCAUCCCUAACCCUGCCUAUGCCCCCUGGCUUGUCCAGGAGCAACAGAUCAUUGCGUAUCUCCUGCGCAAUAUGUCCAAGGAGGUCCUCAUCCAAGUCGCCUCGCUUGAGUCCUCUCAUGCGAUUUGGACUGCCUUGGCCACCAUGUUCUCUGCCGUCUCGCUGUCCCGCGCCAACAACCUUCGUUCUGCGCUCACCAACGCCCAGAAGGGAUCCAUGUCAGCCUCCGCCUAUUUUGGCCACAUGCGCUCCCUCUCCGACGAGCUAACCACGGCGGGCAAACCCCUUGGAAAAGGGGAGCUCAUUUCCUUCAUCAUCGCCGGGCUUGACAUGAAUUAUCAACCUAUCAUCUCCGCUCUAGACGCCCGCACCGAGCCCAUCACCGUUGACAGCCUCUUCUCCCUCGUGGCGAACUUCGAUCAGCGUAUGGAGAUGUUCCAUGGCGCUAGUAAUGGAGGAUUCAAGUCAUCCGCAAACAUUGCCUCGCAUGGGCCGUUCUGGUGCGGCAACGGUGGCUACCGCAAAGGCGGGGGUGGUGGUCCUCGCGGUGGUGGCAGCGGUGGCGGCUACAAUGCUGCCGAUGGUGGAUCUGGCGGUGGCGCUCCUGGUGGCUACCACAUGGCGGGCGGAGGCGACGGCUGCCCUAACCCUAAUUCUGGUGGCGGCUAUGGCUUCCACCAGAACAGCCGGGGCUUCUAG